rnacentral:rRNA from 1 species
AUUGAACGCUGGCGGCAUGCCUUACACAUGCAAGUCGAACGGUAACAGGUCUUCGGAUGCUGACGAGUGGCGAACGGGUGAGUAAUACAUCGGAACGUGCCUAGUAGUGGGGGAUAACUACUCGAAAGAGUGGCUAAUACCGCAUGAGAUCUACGGAUGAAAGCAGGGGAUCGCAAGACCUUGUGCUACUAGAGCGGCCGAUGGCAGAUUAGGGAGUUGGUGGGAUAAAAGCUUACCAAGCAGACGAUCUGUAGCUGGUCUGAGAGGACGAUCAGCCACACUGGGACUGAGACACGGCCCAGACUCCUACGAGAGGCAGCAGUGGGGAAUUUUGGACAAUGGGCGCAAGCCUGAUCCAGCAAUGCCGCGUGCAGGAUGAAGGCCUUCGGGUUGUAAACUGCUUUUGUACGGAACGAAAAGCCCUGGGUUAAUACCCUGGGGUCAUGACGGUACCGUAAGAAUAAGCACCGGCUAACCACGUGCCAGCAGCCGCAGUAA